rnacentral:rRNA from 1 species
AGUACGUGAAACUGCUUAGAGGUUAAACCCGAUGAACCUGAAUAUCCAUUAUGGAAAAUUCAUCACUAAUGAUAUAAUAUGUAAGAAAUAUUUUAAAAAUAGUGUGCAAUUUUUCCAUAUAAGGACAUUGUAAUCUGUUAAUGUGAUAAAUAUUUAUCAUAAGAUCCAUUACACUAAGUUUAUUCAAAUUGGUUAUUUUCGGAUAAUUAACAUAGAAUAAAUGUUUUGGAUUUGAUAAAUCAUUGACAGAUAUAAUUAUAUAAUGUGCUUAAAUUUUUCGGAAUUUUAUCAAUGGUAGUAAAUAUUUUAUUUUCUAUUUAAUUGAUAUGCACUAUUAUGAUUAACAAUGCGAGAGAUUCAGGAUACCUUCGGGACCCGUCUUGAAACACGGACCAAGGAGUCUAACAUAUGUGCAAGUCAUUGGGUAUUUUUAAUAAAACCCAAUGGCGUAAUUAACUUAACUGCUAAUUAAUGGGAUUAGUUUAUAUUUUGUUAUGAAUUAUUAAUUCAAUCCCGGGGCGUUCUAUAUAGUUAUGUAUAAUAAUAUUUAUAUUAUUUAUGCCUCUAACUUGAGCGUUACCUUGAGC